AAAGUCGUAACAAGGUCUCCGUUGGUGAACCAGCGGAGGGAUCAUUACCGAGUUUGCUUUUCUAGCUCGAAACCCACUGUGAACAUACCUCUCUACUCGUUGCUUCGGCGGCAGCUCCUCCGCUGCUCUCUCUCUCUCUCUCUCCCCCCCUGCCUCUCCGCGCCCCCUCACAGGGGCUGGGAGAAGUGUGGUGGGAGGAAAGGGGGGUUCUCCUGGAGGUUCGACCGUCGGAGGGACGCAAACCCAAAACUCUUUAAAUUACUUCUCGAGUAUCUUCUGAGUCGAUAUUUUUAAAUUAUCAAAACUUUCAGCAACGGAUCUCUUGGUUCUG
rnacentral:misc_RNA from 1 species